rnacentral:rRNA from 1 species
UACGUAGGGUGCAAGCGUUAAUCGGAAUUACUGGGCGUAAAGCGUGCGCAGGCGGUUAUGUAAGACAGAUGUGAAAUCCCCGGGCUUAACCUGGGAACCGCAUUUGUGACUGCAUAGCUGGAGUACGGCAGAGGGGGAUGGAAUUCCGCGUGUAGCAGUGAAAUGCGUAGAUAUGCGGGGGAACACCGAUGGCGAAGGCAGUCCCCUGGGCCUGUACUGACGCUCAUGCACGAAAGCGUGGGGAGCAAACAGG